rnacentral:rRNA from 1 species
UACGUAGGGUGCAAGCGUUGCCCGGAUUUAUUGGGCGUAAAGGGCGCGUAGGCGGCUACGCACGUCCGUUGUGAAAUCGCCCGGCUCAACUGGGCGGGGUCGGCGGAUACGGCGAAGCUUGAGCAAGCUAGGGGGCAAUGGAAUUCCAGGUGUAGCGGUGAAAUGCGUAGAUAUCUGGAGGAACACCGGUGGCGAAGGCGGCAUCCUGGACCGGCAUUGACGCUGAGGCGCGAAAGCCAGGGGAGCAAACGGG